rnacentral:rRNA from 1 species
UAGGUGGUUCGUUAAGUUGGAUGUGAAAGCUCCCGGCUUAACUGGGAAACGGCAUCGGAAACUGAUCGGCUUGAAGGUGGGAGAGGGUAGUGGAAUUCCCGGUGUAGUGGUGAAAUGCGUAGAUAUCGGGAGGAACACCAGUGGCGAAGGCGACUACCUGGCCCAUUCUUGACGCUGAGGCGCGAAAGCUAGGGGAGCGAA